rfam:Triticum aestivum genome assembly, contig: Triticum_aestivum_CS42_TGACv1_scaffold_251980_3DL
UUGGUACUCCCUCCGUUCAGAAUUACUCGUCCAAAAAAUAAAUGUAUCUAGAUGUAUUUUAGUUAUAGAUACAUCCACUUUUGUGUACAUCCACUUUUGUGACAAGUAAUUCCGAACGGAGAGAGUAUCAC